rnacentral:rRNA from 1 species
AAACUUCACAAUGGAGGCAACUCCGAUGAGGGAAUUCCAAGUGCUAGCACAUUAGUGUUAGCUUUUCUUAAGCGUAGACAACUUAAGGAAUAAGGGCUGGGUAAGACGGGUGCCAGCCGCCGCGGUAAUACCCGCAGCCCAAGUGGUGGUCGAUUUUAUUGAGUCUAAAACGUUCGUAGCCGGUUCAUUAAAUCCUUGGGUAAAUCGGAUGGCUUAACUAUCCGAAUUCCGGGGAGACUGGUGAACUUGGGACCGGGAGAGGCAAGAGGUACUUUUGGGGUAGGGGUAAAAUCCUGUAAUCCUAAAAGGACCACCGGUGGCGAAGGCGUCUUGCUAGAACGGAUCCGACGGUGAGGGACGAAGCCCUGGGUCGCAAACGGGAUUAGAUACCCCGGUAGUCUAGGGUGUAAACGCUGCAGACUUGGUGUUGGGGGACCCUUCGGGGGUGUUCAGUGCCGGAGAGAAGUUGUUAAGUCUGCUAUUGGGGAGUACGUCCGCAAGGAUGAAACUUAAAGGAAUU